rnacentral:rRNA from 1 species
UACGUAGGGUGCAAGCGUUAAUCGGAAUUACUGGGCGUAAAGCGUGCGCAGGCGGUUGUGCAAGACAGAUGUGAAAUCCCCGGGCUUAACCUGGGAACUGCAUUUGUGACUGCACAGCUGGAGUGCGGCAGAGGGGGAUGGAAUUCCGCGUGUAGCAGUGAAAUGCGUAGAUAUGCGGAGGAACACCGAUGGCGAAGGCAAUCCCCUGGGCCGAUACUGACGCUGAGGAGCGAAAGCGUGGGGAGCGAACAGG